rnacentral:rRNA from 1 species
CCUACGGGUGGCAGCAGUGAGGAAUAUUGGUCAAUGGGCGAGAGCCUGAACCAGCCAAGUCGCGUGAAGGAUGACGGCCCCACGGGUUGUAAACUUCUUUUGUCAGGGAGCAAUUGAGUCCACGUGUGGGCGUAGCGAGAGUAACUGAAGAAAAAGCAUCGGCUAACUCCGUGCCAGCAGCCGCGGUAAUACGGAGGAUGCGAGCGUUAGCCGGAUGUAUUGGGUUUAACGGGUGCGUAGGCGGAAUAUCAAGUCAGCGGUAAAAAUUCGGGGCUCAACCCCGUCGUGCCGUUGAAACUGAUGUUUGUUAGUGGGCGAGAAGUAUGCGGAAUGCGUGGUGUAGCGGUGAAAUGCAUAGAUAUCACGCAGAACUCCGAUUGCGAAGGCAGCAUACCGGCGCCCAACUGACGCUGAAGCACGAAAGCGUGGGUAUCGAACAGGAUUAGAUACCCCAGUAGUC